rnacentral:rRNA from 1 species
GAGCCUCCGGAUCGGCUUUGGGGAGUCGGCAACGACACCCCGUCGCUGAGAAGUUGGUCAAACUUGGUCAUUUAGAGGAAGUAAAAGUCGUAACAAGGUUUCCGUAGGUGAACCUGCGGAAGGAUCAUUAUCGUACUACAGAGGCGCUCGGGUUGUCGCUGACCUCUUGGUCGUGCACGCCCGAGUGCUCUCAAUCCAUUUCACCCUUUGUGCAUCACCGCGCGGGGUCUCUUCCUCUUGGCUUGCUUCAAGAGGGGGAGGUUCGCGUUUUUCAUACAAACACCCUUCUAGUUUUAGAAUGUCAUUCAUUUGCGAUCAUACGCAAUCAAUACAACUUUCAACAACGGAUCUCUUGGCUCUCGCAUCGAUGAAGAACGCAGCGAAAUGCGAUACGUAAUGUGAAUUGCAGAAUUCAGUGAAUCAUCGAAUCUUUGAACGCACCUUGCGCCCCUUGGUAUUCCGAGGGGCACACCCGUUUGAGUGUCGUGAAAUUCUCAAACCUUCUUGGUUUCUUGAUCAAGAUGGCUUUGGACUUUGGAGGCAUUUGCUGGCUUUGCGAAAAGCCAGCUCCUCUUGAAUGCAUUAGUGGGGUCCCCUUUGCCGAUCCCCAGGCGUGAUAAGAUGUUUCUACGUCUUGGGAUUUGCUCUGUUCCUUGGGAACCCGCUUCUAACCGUCUCAUGGAAGACAUUGUUCGAGCUUGCUCGACCCACGAACCUUGACCUCAAAUCGGGUGAGACUACCCGCUGAACUUAAGCAUAUCAAUAAGCGGAGGAAAAGAAACUAACAAGGAUUCCCCUAGUAACUGCGAGUGAAGCGGGAAAAGCUCAAAUUUAAAAUCUGGUGGCCUCUGGUCAUCCGAGUUGUAAUUUAGAGAAGCGUCUUCCGCGCUGGACCAUGCACAAGUCUCCUG